GUUUUAUGGCUUUCUCUCAUUUCUAUAUGAUGUAAUGACUCCUUUUGAAAUGGUAGAAGAAGAAGAAACCGAUCCCACAGAUGUUGAUGUAAAGCCACAAGAUACGGGAUCUCCCAUUUCGUAGUGGACAGCCUGGAGCAACGGAGCCAUGAGCUACCCAAAUAGCUGAAAGUGUUAUUUGGCAGAUCUUGCACACAGUAGAAUGAGUGCUUGUAUGGCUUGGUCUAAGUUGCCAGUGAAGACAUUUGCAUUCCAGGUCUUGUGUGUUUUUUUUGCAUCAAUUUAUUUUGUGUUCCCUAAGCUUGGCACAAUUACCCUUCCAUGGUUUAGGAGACCAAUUACAAUGGCAUUAUAUAAUUUGGCACUUGCAGAUGCCACAUUCUUCCAGCCAUUCUGCAAAUUACCAUGUUUUCCAUAGUCCUAAAAACCAAACUUGAGUUGUUUUAACCAAUACUCGCCCAUCUUCAUCACUUUCAUUCGAAUGGACCGUUAUGCCUGGGAAGUACAGUGCAUAACCUUAGUGCUUGCUGUGCUUUCUUUGUUCCUAAUAGUCUGUCUAAUUGGAACAAAGAUGUAAGCUUGCCCUAUUCUUGGCUGUAACAAAUAAUGGCAUGGCAAUCAAAGCCGUUUGAUUAGCUGCUAAAUUGGACAUGUCUUAACACUGCUUUGAAAGUGCGGGUUGGGUUUUAUCUAAACUCUGUAUUAAAACCUGUUAUUCUUUCAUCUGUUCUGUGCUCUACGUACAACUAAUAACAUUUUAUUUAUGAGUGAGUUUGUUUUUUAUCUGUUUGUAAUUAAACACAAAAACAGACCUUUUUUUGAUGCAAAUAAAAUAUUUCCAAAUA